GAUAUUUUUUUUUUAAAUGAGAAUAUUUUAAUUAAUUGUUGAGGAAUUAAGGAGUAAAUAUGGUUAAUUAAAGCUGGUCAUUAAAUGAGGAAAGAGGUCACCCAUAUCUUUCUAACGUGAAUUUUAGUUGUUUAAGGAAUGAAAUUUGAUUUUCUCUUCCUUUAAGAUAUCAUAUCGUUUAGGAAGAAGUUUUUUCUCUUAGCUAAUUCUCCCUUUAAAGAAAUUAUUUUCCCUCUUCUUGCUCACAUCAUUUCCUCCCUCUUUAAAAACGAUUCGUCCUCGAAUCGGACACUUCUUAUGUUGAGAUUUUAUCAAUUCUGUUUUUUUUGAGAAAAUGUCAUCGGUUGAGACAUUGUAUAAGACCGUUGUGAAAAUCUGCAAGCAAUAGUUAGUGAAGAAAAUAACACUCGUUCACGUGUUUCACUCGUAUUUCACUCGACCUCAUUUCUUCAAGUUGAAUGUCAGAAUUGAAGUUUCUUGAAUCAAAAUAAUCAAAUUUUGUUUAUAAUACUUCAAGAAAUCUUAGGGAAAGAAAGUAGAAAAAUAAUUUUAAAAGUAACAAUUCAAACACACAGAUGAAAAUAGUGCGUGUUUUAUGUAUGAUGCUAAGUAACUAUGGUGCAAUUAACUACUUAGAGAUGUAGUGAAACAAUAGCACAAGGAAACAUAAAGUGCAAGAAAAAUAAUAUGAAUAUGAUUUUAUUUAUUUUUAUAUAGAUGAGCGGAUGCAAAGUAUGAUUUUUUUUUUUUUUUACUAUGAAGGCUAAUAAAUAUGCAAACAUAAAAUAUGCAGGAUAGUAAGAUUUAUCUCAAGCCUAAACUCUGAUACCAAAUAAUGCUGAAUCUAAAAUCAACUAACGUGAUUAAAAACUUCGCAUAUAACAUUAGUAAUUCAGAAUCAUAAAACUCUCAAUAAAUCUUCCCUACUUGACCUACAUUCAACACGUGAAUGUCAAUUAAGGUAAUUGGAUUAGUUUGAAUUUAUUAAAAAUGUCACAAGUAUGAACUUGAUAAGUUAGAAAUCAAUUCGAAAGAAAAUUGAUAAAACGCCAAAAGAAUUUAUUUUGAUAAGUUAAAUCAAUUCCCAUUCAACAAGAAUUUU
rnacentral:lncRNA from 1 species